CUACGAAAGGUGCAAGCGUUGUUCGGAUUUACUGGGCGUAAAGAGAUCGUAGGUGGUUUAUUAAGUCGGAUGUGAAAUCCCGGGGCUCAACCCCGGAACUGCAUUCGAUACUGGUAGACUAGAGUUUGGGAGGGGUAAGCGGAAUUCCGUGUGUAGCAGUGAAAUGCGUAGAUAUACGGAGGAACACCUGAGGCGAAGGCGGCUUACUGGACCAAUACUGACACUGAGGAUCGAAAGCGUGGGUAGCAAACAGGAGUAGAAACCCUAGUAGUCC
rnacentral:rRNA from 1 species